GACGAACCGAGCGAACGUUGUUCGGAAUCACUGGGCUUAAAGGGCGCGUAGGCGGGCCGUCAAGUCAAGGGUGAAAGCCCCCGGCUCAACCGGGGAAGUGCCUCUGAUACUGGCGGCCUCGAGGGAGGUAGGGGCGUGCGGAACUUCCGGUGGAGCGGUGAAAUGCGUAGAUAUCGGAAGGAACACCGGUGGCGAAAGCGGCGCGCUGGACCUCUUCUGACGCUGAGGCGCGAAAGCCAGGGGAGCGAACGGG
rnacentral:rRNA from 1 species